AUCAACGCUGGCGGCGUGCCUAACACAUGCAAGUCGAGCGGGCAUCUUUUGGUGUCAGCGGCGGACGGGUUAGUAACGCGUGGGAACGUGCCUUCUGCUUGGGAAUAGCCCUGGGAAACCGGGGGUAAUACCCGAUGUGCCCUGAGGGGGAAAGGUUUAUCCGGCAGGAGAUCAGCCCGCGUCCGAUUAGGUAGUUGGUGGGGUAACGGCUCACCAAGCCGUCGAUCGGUAGCUGGUUUGAGAGGAUGAUCAGCAACACUGGGACUGAGACACGGCCCAGACUCCUACGGGAGGCAGCAGUGGGGAAUCUUAGACAAUGGGGGCAACCCUGAUCUAGCCAUGCCGCGUGGGUGAUGAAGGCCUUAGGGUCGUAAAGCCCUUUCGCCGGGGAAGAUAAUGACGGUACCCGGUAAAGAAACCCCGGCUAACUCCGU
rnacentral:rRNA from 1 species